GACGAACGCUGACGGUGUGCUUUAGACAUGCAAGUCGAACGAGAAAGCCCUUCGGGUGAGUACAGUGGCGAACGGGUGCGUAACACGUGGGCAACCUGCCCCUCGCAGGGGGACAACCGGAGGAAACUCCGGCUAAUACCCCGUAAGCUCUAUAGGUCGCAUGACCAUUAGAGGAAAGGUAGCUUCGGCCAUCCGGCGAGGGAUGGGCCCGCGGUACAUUAGCUUGUUGGUGGGGUAACGGCCUACCAAGGCGACGAUGUAUAGCUGGUCUGAGAGGAUGAUCAGCCACACUGGGACUGAGACACGGCCCAGACUCCUACGGGAGGCAGCAGUCGGGAAUCUUGCACAAUGGGCGAAAGCCUGAUGCAGCAACACCGUGUGAACGAUGAAGGCCUUAGGGUUGUAAAGUUCUGUUGUUGGGGACGAAGGGCGAAGGUUAAUAGCCCCUAGCCGUGACGGUACCCUUGAGGAAGCCCCGGCUAACUACGUGCCUGCAGCAGCCGACAGUAAC
rnacentral:rRNA from 1 species